rnacentral:rRNA from 1 species
GACGAACGCUGGCGGCGUGCUUAACACAUGCAAGUCGAGCGGUAAGGCCCUUUCGGGGGUACACGAGCGGCGAACGGGUGAGUAACACGUGGGUGACCUGCCCUUAGCUCUGGGAUAAGCCUGGGAAACUGGGUCUAAUACCGGAUAUGACUCCAUGACGCAUGUUGUGGGGUGGAAAGCCUUGUGCGGCUAGGGAUGGGCCUGCGGCCUAUCAGCUUGUUGGUGGGGUGANGGCCUACCAAGGCGACGACGGGUAGCCGGCCUGAGAGGGCGACCGGCCACACUGGGACUGAGACACGGCCCAGACUCCUACGGGAGGCAGCAGUGGGGAAUCUUGCGCAAUGGGCGAAAG